AGUGGAGGACGUCGCACGCUUGCGUACGCGCGGAUAUGUGUUGUGUUUGUGUGUGAGUGACUGGGAUUUGUUCUGUGUUGUGGAAAGGAGUGGUAAAAACCUGCCGUUUGAAGUAAAAUGCAAACCAAAAACAUUAACCUCAUCCAGGACCAAAGAAAUAAAGACCCCUGUGAUAUUCAAAAAAUAGGCCGCCAAGAUGGUGUACCUUUGGAUGUGUCAGUGAACCAAGCGAUAUCAAACCAAGUCACGGUCGCGGCGGUCG
rnacentral:lncRNA from 1 species